rnacentral:rRNA from 1 species
UACGUAGGGGGCUAGCGUUGUCCGGAAUCAUUGGGCGUAAAGCGCGUGUAGGCGGCUUGGUAAGUCUGCUGUGAAAGUCGGGGGCUCAACCCUCGAAUGCCGGUGGAUACUGUCAGGCUAGAGUGCGGAAGAGGCGAGUGGAAUUCCUGGUGUAGCGGUGAAAUGCGCAGAUAUCAGGAGGAACACCAAUUGCGAAGGCAGCUCGCUGGGACGUUACUGACGCUGAGACGCGAAAGCGUGGGGAGCAAACAGG